rnacentral:lncRNA from 1 species
GAAGCCGGCAGGCCCAGCCGACUCCAGCGUGCGUGAUGAGGGCGGAGACGUCGCAGCAACUCCGCGGCCUCUUGAGUGGCCACGGAUUCCGCUCAACCGCCGCGAGCAUCGCCGUCGUGAGCGGGCCAUGACCGUGGUGCAUCGCCUUAUAAAACAACAGAGAGAAGAAAAGGGGACUCCAAAUCUCAUCACCUCCCUCACAGAGCCUCUUUCUUCUUGUUUCUCCCAGGGAUAGGCUUUUCCGAACCCCCAACCGGUGCCGUCGGAGAAAGUAGCUGCAGCUUCUCUCCAGAGCGAGAUAACUCUAACCCUUGUUUUAUUUUUACCCGAUGUUAACAAGACUAAAGAAAGAAGAAUCAGAGAUAGAGAGGGGAGAGACGUACCUGGAGUCGUCGGCGUCCAACCCUCAGCCACAGGCACCUCCCGGCUCGGCCGCGGGCCGUGGGAUGCGGGAUGCCGACGCGGCCACGGGCCGCCGAAGCGGCCCCGGGCACGGCCACGGGCACGACUGCAAGCACGGCCACGGGCGUGACCUUGGGCGCCGCAGGCCG